AUCCAGCUGACGAGUCCCAUAUAGGACGAAACGAUUUUCCUUAAU
rnacentral:hammerhead_ribozyme from 1 species